CGGCGGUCGCGGCGGCGGUCGGUGCUGCGCGAGCGGUAGCGGCGGCGGCUCGGCGGGACCGAGGGCGGGAGCGGCCGAGACCAUGGCUGGAGGCAAAGCUGGAAAGGACAGUGGGAAGGCCAAGGCUAAGGCAGUGUCUCGCUCACAGAGAGCUGGGUUACAGUUUCCCGUGGGCCGCAUCCACAGACAUUUGAAGACUCGCACCACAAGUCAUGGAAGGGUCGGUGCCACUGCUGCAGUGUACAGUGCCGCAAUUCUGGAGUACCUCACUGCUGAGGUGCUGGAGCUGGCAGGUAAUGCUUCCAAGGAUCUCAAAGUUAAGCGGAUCACUCCGCGCCACUUGCAACUUGCAAUCCGUGGUGAUGAAGAGUUGGAUUCCCUUAUCAAGGCUACCAUAGCUGGGGGUGGUGUGAUCCCUCACAUCCACAAGUCUCUGAUUGGAAAGAAGGGACAGCAGAAAACUGCUUAGAGAGUGGUUUUAACCAACCCUCUUCCUCCCCGUCAUUGUACUGUAACUGGGACAGAAGAAAUAAUGGGGACAUGUGGAAUUUUUAAAACAGUGUGAAGAGGAGAAAAAACUUCCUGUCUCUCCAGCCCAGCCUGAGAUGGUCACUCACAUUUAUCCACCUUUCUACAAGGUCAUCGAUCUGUCCUCUACAAGGCCUUCACCCCUCUACCCAGAGACACCCACUGGGAAACAUUUCUCUGUAUCCUCCCAAGGGCCUCUCACUGCCGCGGCCUCUUCUGCCGCGGAGCACAGGCUCCAGACGCACGGGCCCAGCCGCUCCGCGGCACGCGGGAUCCUCCCGGACCGGGGCACGAACCCGUGCCCCCCGCUUCGGCAGGCGGACUCCCAACCACUGCGCCACCAGGGAAACCCAGCAACUCAUUUCUUAAUUUCUUCCCACUGCGCCACCAGGGAAGUCCCUACUUUGUUCUAUUAACAGCUGCAUCCUAUCUCUUUACGUCAGUGAUUUUUAGCCAGGAGGCACUUUGGAAAUGUGUGGGCCUCUGACCGUGGAUGGGGGCAAUGCUGGAUAUAUUAUAAUGCCUGAGACUGCCCCACUGACUUCCAAAUGUCUGGCCAGAUGUUAGUGUAUGUGAAAAACUCAUAAUUAUGUAAGUCUAAACUCCAUUUUACAUAUUAACAUGAAGGGUUUGGUUUUGGGUUGCUGAAAAAUUUGAAUAUCCCUGGCACUUCCGAGGCCUCCAACCGCUGUGUAAUGGAAGGGAAGCAUGAAUUUCAGAAGGGCUUAAAGGCUACUGGAAUCAUGUCAAAGAGCCACAGAGGUCAACUUAGAGGGGCUUGUACUAGCCAAAUUUGGGAUGAUUUGAGCAUCAAAAACAAUGAGUGCAGGGACUUCCCUGGUGGUCCAGUGGUUAAGACUCCGAGCUCCCAAUGCGAGGGGGCCAGGGUUCGAUCCCUGGUCAGGGAGCUAGAUCCCACAUGCUGCAACUAAGACCCGGCACAGCCAAAUAAAUAAAUAGAAAAAAUAAUGAGUGCAAUUGUUUGUAACACGUUUAAUGAAAAUCCAUGAGUCCAUAGUGGUAGGAGGAGGGAGAGAGAGAUUAGAUUACUCAGGUUUUCGCAACUAUAGAGUAAUUGACUCAGGGGAAUUCCCUGGUGGUCCAGUGGUUAGGACUCCUCACUUAUGGGUUCAGUCCUUGAUCAGGGAACUUGGAUCCUGUAAGCCACGUGGCAUGGCCAAAAUAAUUUUUUAAAAAAUUGAUUCAGGUGAAGAUCAUUAAUUGAUGCUAAAAGAAAACAAUCAGGUGAAAGGUCUGGGAGCAGGGUCUUCACACAGAGGCAAAGUAUCAUCCCACAGGUUACCUACUCAGCAGAAAGAAUACAAAGUACCUUUCCAGUGGAGCAGUCUGACCUCCUGUUGAGUCAGUCUGAGAUCAUAUGCUAUCUGACAAAAGGCAGGAUUAAGUGCAUAUAGCAUCACCUACAAUGCCUUCCUGCAUAAAAUGUUGAACGUGUGUCCAUUCAAGCUUCUCUGCCUAAUUUCCAGUUUACAGAAAAUACAAGAGCCAGAGAGACCAAGCAAGUAACACGAAAUGGAGACCUUAGGCAGCUCCAAAAUCAGGGACAUUCGACAAAGUCAAUGCCCUGUUUAGGGAGUUGAUGUCAAAAAAAAAAAAAAGCAAGAGGCCAAGACCACACAGUUGUAGGACUCAAUUUAUAUGAAAUGUCCAGAAAAGGUAAAUCUAGAGACAGAAAGCCAACUUGUAGUUGCCAGGGACUGGGAGUGAAAGCAGGAGGGACUGCAAAUGGGCACAGGGUCUUCCUGGUGUGGUGGAUUAUGGUGAUGGUUGCACAACUCAGUAUAUUCACUAAAAUUAUUGUACUCUUAAAAUGGGUGAAUUUUAUGGUGUAUAAAUUUUCUCAAUAGGCCUUUUUAAAAACAUUAAUAAAUAGAAAUUACAAUAUGUUAAAAAGUAGGACUGUUCUAGAUUGAAAGAGACAAAAGAGACCUAACAGUGUGUGAACCUAGGUUGGAUCUUUGGGGGCAGUGGGGUGUGUGGGCAGGAGAGCGUUAUUAAAUACAUUGAUUGUAUGUAAAUUAUACCUUAAUAAAGCUUACUUUAAAAACCUCUAGGGACUUCCCUCGUAGCACAGUGGUUAAAAAUCUGCCUGCCAAUGCAGGGGACCACGGGUUCGAGCCCUGGUCCUGUAAGAUCCCACAUGCCACGGAGCAACUAAGCCCGUGCGCCACAACUACUGAGCCUGCACUCUAGAGCCCGUGAGCCACAACUACUAAAGCCCGAGCACCUACAGCCGGUGCUCCUCCACAAAAGCCACUACAAUGAGAAGCCUGUGCACACCACAAGACCCAACGCCGCCAAAAACAAAACCUUCAGAACCAGUGGGGGAAAUCUGAAUAAGGACCAUACACUGCAGGUUGUAUGGAUUUUGCUUAUUUUCUGAGGUGUGCUAAAGGAACUGGGUGAGCCCUACCUUAUUGGGUGCAUGGCUGGCCGACUUCUCUGGAAGCAGCAGCUCUUGUGCUCAGGGAAGCUGAGGCCACACUGUAAUCAAUUCUGCUCACCUUGCCUUGUCCUGGAGGCCUUCAUCAUGUAGCAGCCACUUACUCUUUCUUUGCACAACUAGGUUUAAACUUGCUUUUUCAAAACUAAACAGUAUGUUUUUAGGGACACACAUAGGUGAUAGAUUGAUAAACACAAAAUCAGGGUGAUCUCAAAAAAAAAAUCAUGGGCCCCUUGUGAGGGAUAAUGAGUAUGCAACUGGGGAGGACCCCCAAGGGGAGUUCUUGAUCUUAAAGGAAACCAUGUUCAUGAACAUAAAGGCCUCACCUGGACCAGAUUAUAGCUCAGACUGCCAGGUCUGCACUAUGGAAUGAGUGCAAGACCUCAAAUGACCAUGAGGGCCUGUACAACUAGCCAGGGAGCAGUUCCCUAAUCUAUAGAGUUACCUGGUCACCAGCUGGUCUGGGGCAAGGCAGAGCCAGAUGCCUUCUGCAGGUAGACUGCACCACACCAGGUCUGCCUGCCUUUCUCUAGCAGACUGAACUUCACAAUUGAGCUGUCAUAAACCCUGUACUCUGCAUUUACAUUCUCAAACAGCUACAGAUAUCCCAAGAACAUGGUCCAAAGACCCUUCCCCAGAGGCUAAAGCUUGACAUAUUUCCCUCAAGGAGGGCCACCACAGAAUAUGCUUAAAUUAAGCUUUGUUAAAAUUAGCUAUGAUUUUCAAUUUGUUAUAGUAAUUUUGAUGGAUAACCCUAAAUGUGCCAAGUGAGAAUUUUCCACCGUCACCCUUAAAGGAGUACUGCUCCAACCUGGUCACAAUCUUGAAGUUCCACCUUGUUUUUUCCCUGUCCGAGCCUACACUUCAGUAUUCCACUCACAGCUUGCCCCUGGGAUACUCAAUCAGCAACACUUAAUUCUUGGAUCAGGGAAGCAAAAAACAAGAUACUCUUUUAAACAAACACAGCAACUGUUGUCUUAGGAGUAACGAGUUGCUGCUUAAAAUGAAAUCUACAUCAAUACCCUAACCCAAACAAGGACAGACAACGGUUGUUUAGUUUUUAUUUCAUAACCAUAAACUUAACUUUGCAAUUCAGCUAAACUUGGAGGGGAAUAA